AUAGGAUAAAAUGAAAAGCUGCAUUAAAACAAAGACAAAAUUAGAAACAAAAGCAUAAGUAAUCCCGCAGAGAUAACGUAAGUAAUUAUGUAAACACAAGAAACAUAAAUACAGUAUGCAAUAAUAACAAGCAGUAUCUACCAUACUAACAACCACAAGGGGACAUAAGCUAAAACACUAAUCAUCUAUGGGUAACCCUACUAUCCCACACCCAAC
rnacentral:lncRNA from 1 species